rnacentral:rRNA from 1 species
UCCGUAGGUGGAUAAUUAAGUCAGAGGUGAAAUCCUGCAGCUCAACUGUAGAAUUGCCUUUGAUACUGGUUAUCUUGAGUUAUUAUGAAGUAGUUAGAAUAUGUAGUGUAGCGGUGAAAUGCAUAGAUAUUACAUAGAAUACCAAUUGCGAAGGCAGAUUACUAAUAAUCAACUGACACUGAUGGACGAAAGCGUAGGGAGCGAACAGGAUUAGAUACCCUGGUAGUCC